GUCAAUCCGUGGCGUCUCCAUUCUCUUCUGUCCAAUGAAGGCUGCCCAUUCAUGGAGUGCGAAGAAAGACAUCUUGACAAAACCAAAUUGUCAGCAAAUCAGGAUGGAGCACCACUGCCCUUUAGGAUAUAGACAGCAGCCCUCCAAGGCUGAUGGGACAAGCUGGGGAGGUCACUGCUUACCGCUGAGACCAGUGAGACCACCAAGAGCUGGCCAGUGUCUUCAGCCCUUUCCUGUCUAUGAAGCCAUCUUUCUACAACACCCAUUCUAGUUUAUGGAAUGAAGUGUUAACAGCUGGAUUCUAAAGUCAAAAAU
rnacentral:lncRNA from 1 species